rnacentral:lncRNA from 1 species
GUGGCCAGGAAGAAAUUUAAGGUAAUAAUCAUCAAGUUCUCACCUAUUCCUCUGAUGUUUUGUUUAGGUGUGUUAUGAAAACUCACUAAUUUAUAUUUUGGAGCACUUGCAUGUGAUUUUCUUGUGGUCAAGGAAUCAUGUGUUGUGAUUGGAGCUGUAAUCUUAUGUUUAAAAUAUGCUACUGGUUGGAUUUUGAAGAAACAGAGGAGCUAGAAUAAAUAAAAGAAAAGAAGGAAUUGGAUUGGUAAUGUAAGAAAAACUUUCUGCACUUUUGAGUCUGGACCUGUCUUCAGUAAUCGAGUCAUAUCUGACAAACCGUAAAUCCGUUU